AUUGUGGCUGAUCCAGAUUCCUCUCUCCUCUCCAUCACUCAUCUGAUUAUGACACCACACACGUGCCAUAUGUAUGUGAAAGCGUGCAUAAUAAACGGAGCAUCAGUUGAGCACCGA